rnacentral:rRNA from 1 species
CAGCAGCCGCGGUAAUACGUAGGUGGCAAGCGUUGUCCGGAAUUAUUGGGCGUAAAGGGCUCGCAGGCGGUUUCUUAAGUCUGAUGUGAAAGCCCACGGCUCAACCGUGGAGGGUCAUUGGAAACUGGAAAACUUGAGUGCAGAAGAGGAAAGUGGAAUUCCAUGUGUAGCGGUGAAAUGCGCAGAGAUAUGGAGGAACACCAGUGGCGAAGGCGACUUUCUGGUCUGUAACUGACGCUGAUGUGCGAAAGCGUGGGGAUCAAACAGGAUUAGAUACCCGCGUAGUCCCUGUCUCUUAUAC